AUACGGAGGAUGCAAGCGUUAUCCGGAUUUAUUGGGUUUAAAGGGUGCGCAGGCGGAAGAUUAAGUCGGCGGUGAAAUUUUGCAGCUCAACUGUAAAAGUGCCUUCGAAACUGGUUUCCUUGAGUGUAGAUGAAGUAGGCGGAAUUUGUGGUGUAGCGGUGAAAUGCAUAGAUAUCACGAGGAACUCCGAUUGCGCAGGCAGCUUACUAAACUACUACUGACGCUCAGGCACGAAGGCGUGGGGAUCAAACAGGAUUAGAUACCCUGGUAGUCCACGCAGUAAACGAUGAUUACUAGCUGUUUGCGAUACAAUGUAAGCGGCUGAGCGAAAGCGUUAAGUAAUCCACCUGGGGAGUACGUUCGCAAGAAUGAAACUCAAAGGAAUUGACGGGG
rnacentral:rRNA from 1 species